rnacentral:rRNA from 1 species
GACGAACGCUGGCGGCGUGCCCAAUACAUGCAAGUAGAACGCACAGUUUAUACCGUAGCUUGCUACACCAUAAACUGUGAGUUGCGAACGGGUGAGUAACGCGUAGGUAACCUGCCUGGUAGCGGGGGAUAACUAUUGGAAACGAUAGCUAAUACCGCAUAAUAUUAAUUAUUGCAUGAUAAUUGAUUGAAAGAUGCAAUUGCAUCACUACCAGAUGGACCUGCGUUGUAUUAGCUAGUAGGUGAGGUAACGGCUCACCUAGGCGACGAUACAUAGCCGACCUGAGAGGGUGAUCGGCCACACUGGGACUGAGACACGGCCCAGACUCCUACGGGAGGCAGCAGUAGGGAAUCUUCGGCAAUGGACGAAAGUCUGACCGAGCAACGCCGCGUGAGUGAAGAAGGUUUUCGGAUCGUAAAGCUCUGUUGUAAGAGAAGAACGGGUGUGAGAGUGGAAAGUUCACACUGUGACGGUAGCUUACCAGAAAGGGACGGCUAACUACGUG